rfam:TPA: Bos taurus chromosome 24, whole genome shotgun sequence.
UCCCUGGUAGCUCAGUUGGUAAAGAAUCUGCCUGCAGUGUAGGAGACCCAGGUUCAAUCCCUGGGUCGGGAA